AGAGUUUGAUCCUGGCUCAGGAUGAACGCUAGCUACAGGCUUAACACAUGCAAGUCGAGGGGCAGCAUGAAAGGAACUUCGGUUCUUUUUGAUGGCGACCGGCGCACGGGUGCGUAACGCGUAUCGAACCUGCCUCAUACUCGGGGAUAGCCUUGCGAAAGUAAGAUUAAUACCCGGCGGUCUCGGAUGGCCGCAUGACUGUCCGAGUGAAGAUUUAUCGGUAUGAGAUGGCGAUGCGUCCCAUUAGCUAGUUGGUGAGGUAAUGGCUCACCAAGGCAUCGAUGGGUAGGGGUUCUGAGAGGAAGGUCCCCCACAUUGGAACUGAGACACGGUCCAAACUCCUACGGGAGGCAGCAGUGAGGAAUAUUGGUCAAUGGACGAGAGUCUGAACCAGCCAAGUAGCGUGCAGGAUGACGGCCCUAUGGGUUGUAAACUGCUUUUAUAGGGGGAUAAAGUGUGCCACGUGUGGCAUAUUGCAGGUACCCUAUGAAUAAGGACCGGCUAAUUCCGUGCCAGCAGCCGCGGUAAUACGGAAGGUCCAGGCGUUAUCCGGAUUUAUUGGGUUUAAAGGGAGCGUAGGCCGUUUGGUAAGCGUGUUGUGAAAUGUCGGGGCUCAACCUGGGCAUUGCAGCGCGAACUGCCAGACUUGAGUGCGCAGGAAGUAGGCGGAAUUCGUCGUGUAGCGGUGAAAUGCUUAGAUAUGACGAAGAACUCCGAUUGCGAAGGCAGCCUGCUGUAGCGCAACUGACGCUGAAGCUCGAAAGCGUGGGUAUCGAACAGGAUUAGAUACCCUGGUAGUCCACGCGGUAAACGAUGGAUGCUCGCUGUUUGCGUCUGACGUAAGCGGCCAAGCGAAAGCGUUAAGCAUCCCACCUGGGGAGUACGCCGGCAACGGUGAAACUCAAAGGAAUUGACGGGGGCCCG
rnacentral:rRNA from 1 species